rfam:Triticum aestivum genome assembly, contig: Triticum_aestivum_CS42_TGACv1_scaffold_004429_1AL
UUUCUACUUCCUCCGUUUCAAAUUACUUGUCUCAGAUUUGUCUAGAUACGGAGAUAUCUAGCACUAAAAUGAGUCUAGAUACGGAUGUCUAGAUACAUCCGUAUCUAGACAAAUCCAAGACAAGUAAUUUGGAACGGAGGGAGUCGACU